GGAAGGAUCAUUAUUGAAAUAAACCUGAUGGGUUGUUGCUGGCUCUCUAGAGAGCAUGUGCACGCCUUGUCAUCUUUAAAUCUCCACCUGUGCACCUUUUGUAGACCUUUUCAGGUCUAUGUUGUCUCAUUUACCCCAAUGUAUGUUAAUAGAAUGUUGUGACUAUAUAAUAUAUACAACUUUCAGCAACGGAUCUCUUGGCUCUCGCAUCGAUGAAGAACGCAGCGAAAUGCGAUAAGUAAUGUGAAUUGCAGAAUUCAGUGAAUCAUCGAAUCUUUGAACGCACCUUGCGCUCCUUGGUAUUCCGAGGAGCAUGCCUGUUUGAGUGUCAUUAAUAUAUAUAUCAACCUUCUCUUGUUGAAUGGUUUGGAUGUGGGGGUUUGCUGGCCUCUUAAAAGGAUUCAGCUCUC
rnacentral:misc_RNA from 1 species